GUCAAUUUUUUUUAGUUUUGUUAGCUGAAUAUGUAGCUUCCCUUCGUCUAAGCUUCGGAAACUGGUGAGUAGAUCUAUAAUUUCUUCGAACUGUUUAAUUUUCUUUAUUAUUUUCAUGUAGUGCUCAGAUAUUAUUGAUUUGGAAGAAGAAAAAUUUACCCCGGAGCUGUUCCAUAUGCAUCCGAAUACAAGAAAGGAAGUGCAAGAUAAGGUUAUCCCGUUUUACUUGAGCUGCCGCUAGACGUCGGCUGCUUCCGUUGAUUCAUACAUCCGCUGGGAGAACCUGGGUGUUCAACGACAUUGGAAAAUAUGCGACGGUCCGAAGUCGCAGGAACCGGUGCUGGAAAAAGUGGACGGCCGAAACCGUACAGUAAAAUGGUGGUUCGAGUCGAACUCUACAAUCUCGAAGAAUACAUCCAGGAGGAGCUGUUCAAAAAAAGAGUCAACAACAAUGAAAUCCGCUGACAGCAGAAGCUUUUAGGACAGGAAAAGAGGAUUUCAAUCGAAAUUUUCCAAAAGGUAAUUAUUAUGCUUUUAUUUAUAUAGAUUCUCCUCAUUUUUUUUUUUUAACUUUAGCACGAUCGUUUGAAAGUGCGAACCUGGACCAUGAGAUAGUGGAUCUGACUGGAAAAAUUCUCGGAGCCUAUCCGGUUGAACCUUCGGUAGAUUGCAUCAAAAAGUUCUACCAAAAGCUUGAGGGAACAGCCGUUUCAUUCUAAAAGAUUCUUCGUUCCCCUAUGAGAUGGGCAGCAUAGACGUGAAUCAGUACCGGAUGUCGAUGUUCCAUGUUGGUUGAGCCGUGAUAGGUAUUAAUUUUGCAACCGAAGUAAAAUUAAAAAUAAAUAAAAAC